rnacentral:rRNA from 1 species
GGUGAACGCUGGCGGCGUGCCUAAGACAUGCAAGUCGAGCGGGCCGCGGGGUUUUACUCCGUGGUCAGCGGCGGACGGGUGAGUAACGCGUGGGUGACCUGCCCGGAAGAGGGGGACAACCCGGGGAAACUCGGGCUAAUCCCCCAUGUGGACCCGCCCCUUGGGGUGUGUCCAAAGGGCUUUGCCCGCUUCCGGAUGGGCCCGCGUCCCAUCAGCUAGUUGGUGGGGUAAUGGCCCACCAAGGCGACGACGGGUAGCCGGCCGGAGAGGGUGGCCGGCCACAGGGGCACUGAGCCCCGGGCCCCACUCCUACGGGAGGCAGCAGUUAGGAAUCUUCCGCAAUGGGCGCAAGCCUGACGGAGCGACGCCGCUUGGAGGAAGAAGCCCUUCGGGGUGUAAACUCCUGAACCCGGGACGAAACCCCCGACGAGGGGACUGACGGUACCGGGGUAAUAGCGCCGGCCAACUCCGUG